rnacentral:rRNA from 1 species
AGUGAACGCUGGCGGCAGGCCUAACACAUGCAAGUCGAACGAGUCGCAGACGGGUGAGUAAUAUCUGGGAAACUGCCCGAUGUAGAGGGCUAAAUACUGAAAAGGGUGGCUAUACCCGCUACCCAUCGUAUGUGCCCAUAGUAGAUGAGCGAGUGGGUGGUGUAACGGCUCACCUAGGCGACGGUGCCACGCUGGUCUGAGAGGAUGACCAGGCACAGGGGAACUGAGACAAGGUGUCAAAUCGGACGUGAGGCAGGAGUGGGGCAUAGAGCAGAAGGGGCGGAAGGCAAAUGCAGCCAAGGCGCGUGUCUGUAGAGGGCCAUCGGGUCGUAAAGUAUGUUCCGCGUGGGGGCGUUACUCGCAGAAGAAGCACCGGCUAACUCCGUGCCAGCCGCCGCGGUAAUUC